rnacentral:misc_RNA from 1 species
GUAGGUGAACCUGCGGAAGGAUCAUUAAAGAUUCGACCUUCGGGUCUAUCUUCUCUUCAGCUGUGCGCUUUUGCUGCACGCUGUUGAACUUCACACACCUGUGCACACUUCGGUUGCGGUUAGUUAACUCUAGCUGCUUCCGCUUUUACAUUUAACUACUAAGUCUUGAAUGUCAAAUACAAUAAAAAUAACAACUUUCAACAACGGAUCUCUUGGCUCUCGCAUCGAUGAAGAACGCAGCAUCUGACUG